CCUACGGGAGGCAGCAGUGGGGAAUAUUGCGCAAUGGGCGAAAGCCUGACGCAGCGAAGCCGCGUGAGGGAUGAAGGUCUUCGGAUCGUAAACCUCUGUCAGCAGGGAAGAACGGUCACUGUGCUAAUCAGCAGUGAAUUGACGGUACCUGCAAAGGAAGCACAGGUUAACUCCGUGCCAGCAGCCGCGGUAAUACGGAGGGUGCGAGCGUUAAUCGGAAUUACUGGGCGUAAAGCGCUCGUAGGCGGUAUGUCAAGUCAAGGGUGAAAUCCCCGCGCUCAACGUGGGAACUGCCUUUGAAACUGGCAAACUUGAGUGUGUGAGAGGAUAGUGGAAUGCCAGGUGUAGGAGUGAAAUCCGUAGAUAUCUGGAGGAACAUCAGUGGCGAAGGCGACUAUCUGGCACAUAACUGACGCUGAGGAGCGAAAGCGUGGGUAGCAAACAGGAUUAGAUACCCUGGUAGUC
rnacentral:rRNA from 1 species